AUUGAACGCUGGCGGCAUGCCUUACACAUGCAAGUCGAACGGCAGCAUGGAGGAGCUUGCUCCUCUGAUGGCGAGUGGCGAACGGGUGAGUAAAGCAUCGGAACGUGCCGUGUAGUGGGGGAUAACGUAGCGAAAGUUACGCUAAUACCGCAUACGCACCGAGGUGGAAAGCAGGGGAUCGCAAGACCUUGCGCUAUACGAGCGGCCGAUGUCAGAUUAGCUAGUUGGUAGGGUAAAGGCCUACCAAGGCGACGAUCUGUAGCGGGUCUGAGAGGAUGAUCCGCCACACUGGGACUGAGACACGGCCCAGACUCCUACGGGAGGCAGCAGUGGGGAAUUUUGGACAAUGGGGGAAACCCUGAUCCAGCCAUGCCGCGUGAGUGAAGAAGGCCUUCGGGUUGUAAAGCUCUUUCGGCCGGGAAGAAAUCGCAUGGGCUAAUACCCUGUGCGGAUGACGGUACCGGCAUAAGAAGCACCGGCUAACUACGUG
rnacentral:rRNA from 1 species